UCGAUUCUAUACCAAAUGGGA
rnacentral:piRNA from 1 species